rnacentral:rRNA from 1 species
AGAGUUUGAUCCUGGCUCAGGAUGAACGCUGGCGGCGUGCCUAAUACAUGCAAGUCGAACGCACAGCGAAAGGUGCUUGCACCUUUCAAGUGAGUGGCGAACGGGUGAGUAACACGUGGAUAACCUACCUCAAGGUUGGGGAUAACAUUUGGAAACAGAUGCUAAUACCGAAUAAAACUUCGUAUCGCAUGAUACAAGGUUAAAAGGCGCUACGGCGUCACCUAGAGAUGGAUCCGCGGUGCAUUAGUUAGUUGGUGGGGUAAAGGCCUACCAAGACAAUGAUGCAUAGCCGAGUUGAGAGACUGAUCGGCCACAUUGGGACUGAGACACGGCCCAAACUCCUACGGGAGGCUGCAGUAGGGAAUCUUCCACAAUGGGCGAAAGCCUGAUGGAGCAACGCCGCGUGUGUGACGAAGGCUUUCGGGUCGUAAAGCACUGUUGUAUGGGAAGAACAGCUAGAGUAGGGAAUGACUUUAGUUUGACGGUACCAUACCAGAAAGGGACGGCUAAAUACGUGCCAGCAGCCGCGGUAAUACGUAUGUCCCGAGCGUUAUCCGGAUUUAUUGGGCGUAAAGCGAGCGCAGACGGUUGAUUAAGUCUGAUGUGAAAGCCCGGAGCUCAACUCCGGAAAGGCAUUGGAAACUGGUCAACUUGAGUGCAGUAGAGGUAAGUGGAACUCCAUGUGUAGCGGUGGAAUGCGUAGAUAUAUGGAAGAACACCAGCGGCGAAGGCGGCUUACUGGACUGUAACUGACGUUGAGGCUCGAAAGUGUGGGUAGCAAACAGGAUUAGAUACCCUGGUAGUCCACACCGUAAACGAUGAACACUAGGUG